rfam:Callithrix jacchus chromosome 3, whole genome shotgun sequence
GGUUGCAAGGUCAAUCUCAUUGAUGACAUUGGUCUCCCCAUUGAUUCUGGGGUUUAUCAGACUGAUCUGGCUGGAUGGGCAAGUGUCCCUUUCUCCCUCUCUGCUUUACAUGCACACUUAAUAGAAAAGGACAACCUUCCCUGAGAGAAGUGUCCUGUUCUUUUUCUCAAGAGCAAAGGCAACAUCUUUAAUCAAAAAAGAUUUACCAUGCAAACUGAUGAGGGAAUGAAUUUUUUUUUAACUGAUUAAAAAUAAAAUCAUUGUGUUAGUGUGUUAGUCCUUUAAAU